rnacentral:rRNA from 1 species
CGUGUAGGCGGUGUGGUAAGUCGGAUGUGAAAUCUCUAGGCUCAACCUGGAAACUGCAUUCGAAACUGCCAUGCUUGAGUACCGGAGAGGGAAACGGAAUUCCUGGUGUAGGGGUGAAAUCUGUAGAUAUCAGGAAGAACACCGGUGGCGAAGGCGGUUUCCUGGCCGGAUACUGACGCUGAGGCGCGAAAGCUAGGGGAAGCAAACA